AAUGUGUAGAUAAUAAGCUCCGAUGAUACCUGACGCAUGAGAAUUACUGUUUGAUCAGAUGCGAGGAAAACAAAGCAUGAAACUGUGUACAAUAACAAUUCAACUGUUUGUCGCUACUGUUGUAAACAGAUACGAACAAAUAUAAAAACGAGUGGCACAUUUUAUAUAAGAUCAAUUGGAAUAUAUAAAGAUAUUAUAUGUUUUAAUACCCUAUAAUAGUAUUUAAACAUUUUUAAAGCAAAUUUUGUUAAUUUCAUUGUAGAUUUUAUUAAAGAUGACGGCAUUCGGACAAUACCAUCAAAGAAUGUUCUUGAUUGUCAACUUUCUGUUAUUAAUCCUAUACUGUAUGAUUAUUUACAGUAUUGACGAGGUUUCAUUUGGAUCUGCCUACGACAGAAAAAAAGAACGAAUAUUUUCCUUAUAUUAAAUGAAAUAAUCUUUCAGAUUAUCGCGUACGUAAUAUUGUAUUUAUUGUUUUUCUUUUAUCUGUUUUAAAUUAAUUAAAUUAAUAAUACAAUUUGUAAUGCAAACAUACAAUGGAAAGAUUACCUAUCCAAGAAGUGAUAACGUGUGCAUUACAAUCACAGUUAUAAUGUAACUUUCCUGUUGGAUACUUCUAUAUAAAAACAAUUUCUAAAAGAUAAUUUUCAUUUCAUUUUUAUUGUUCGUUAUUGUUGAUCAAUGUUUGUCUGGAAGUAUUUCAUCGUGUUUGGUUUCCUUUUAGCAAUUAUACCUUUUGCUUUAAGGAGACGUGCAAAGCGAAAUGAAAAAGAAAACACAUGCCUUGAUGUCCUAACGGAGGCGGACAUGUUGAAUAACAUAUGCGUGAAGGAUAUUUGUUAUAAUAAAAUGCAUUUACUAUAAAUUUAUGUUUUUCUGACAUUUAUACGUAAGUACCUAAGAACAAGAAAUAGUCUGAAAGCUUUUUAGUAACAUUAUGAUAACUGGUUUGUAAAAUUAUGAGAUCCGUCCGCCAUUUUGUUGAAAUAUGCGCAUUUGUUAUAAUAAAUAACAUGUAAGCAAGAUAA